rnacentral:rRNA from 1 species
GAGUGAACGGCUAGCGGCAGGCCGUAAUACAUGCAAGUCGAACGAUACCAGAGAGCUUGCUUUCUGGGAAAGUGGCGCACGGGUGCGUAACGCGUAUGCAACCUACCUUAAGUCAGGGGGAUAGCCUCUCGAAAGAGAGAUUAACACCGCAUAAAAUCACACUUCGGGCAUCGAAGAAUGAUCAAAUAUUUAUAGGAUUAAGAUGGGCAUGCGUGACAUUAGCUAGUUGGUAAGGUAACGGCUUACCAAGGCUACGAUGUCUAGGGGAUCUGAGAGGAUGACCCCCCACACUGGUACUGAGACACGGACCAGACUCCUACGGGAGGCAGCAGUAAGGAAUAUUGGUCAAUGGGGGCAACCCUGAACCAGCCAUGCCGCGUGCAGGAAGACGGCCCUACGGGUUGUAAACUGCUUUUAUACGGGAAUAAAUCUCGCUACGUGUAGUGAGUUGAAUGUACUGUAAGAAUAAGGAUCGGCUAACUCCGUG